CUGUGAACGCUGAAUGUAAUCGGAACGGCUACUAGCCAAGUGUGUGGGGGAGGAGGAAAGUAUCUGAAGAUUUAGGACCAACUGCAAGGUCUGUUCAGGAUCCAUGCCAAAAAGCAGCUGGACAGGCUGCUAGCUGAAGCCUGUUACACCACCGUGGUUCAUAACCAAGUUUCCAGGGUGGGUUUGCUUUGAAUCUGCCCCAUCUCAACAUCUCAGGAGGGUAUUGUAACAAUUUGGAUACCAAACACGGAGAGGACAGCCCUGUUGGACAGCUGUGCCAGGAUUCCUGCCCUAGCUCUCACCACAGACCUCAGCUGAGUUGCUUCACAUCUCCAGAAGGUAUGUUGUCGCCUGAAUCCUCUGAGAAGAUGGGGCUUAGCUCUUCAACCUUGAAGUCACACCUGUAAGAUCAAGAUAAAUGUACUUACUAAAAUUACAAGCUGUUUAGAUAACGUGGUCAUGUAGGCACAUCUGGGGCAGCUGGAAUAAGUAUCCUUAACCUUCAUCCGCCCUAGUGAGCUGAACAUAGCUCUUGUUGGAGGCCACGGCUGCAGGAAACUGCGUUAUGCUCUAUCGAAGGACCCCAGGGCCAAGUGAGGGUGCUGCGGUUGCUCACACUACAUUUUCUUUCCCUGUGGCUUGGUGACUCAUCUUUCACACUUCCUUAUUAUCCCAUUUACCGACAAUACAAAGUACCCUUUUCUAAUAGAGAAGCAUUUAGAAGCACUGGGUUUUGGUAAACAAUAUAAAAAUUAUUCUCGGUAGCCAUUAAGAGUUUGGGUUCACAGCUUUUCUGAGGAAUGCUUAUCUUCGUGCAAACACAUCUCCUUUCCAUAGCCCACUGCUUACACCUGGGACCCAACUGUUAAUAGUUUCAGCAGUACCACUGAUGUACUUAGUGCUUCUCUAGUCCAACAUUCGUGAUGGAUGGUGAGAAUUUGUAAUAUCUGAUUCUUAGCGUCUGAAGAUUUCAUGCUCAAUAAAUCUCAUGCAUUUCUUUUUUCUUAUUUGUCUGAGAACAAAACUUCCAAUGACUUUUCUGCGAUUGCCUUGGUUCAUUCUGCUUUAGCUGGCACCUGUUUGCUGAUUAGCUCAUCUAAUGAAAUUAAGUCCUGCACUAGUCUGGCAGACAGUGCGUAUGUUCUUGUGCACAGGUAGAGAACUGGAAAAACAUAGCCUGUUAUUGGUAAAUGCAAUAAAGAUGCCAAGGAGUAACUUGCAAGAUUUUGCCGGACACAUAGAUCCAAGCAGGCUAUUGCUAAGUGGGUACUGUAGACUAACACAGCUGAAUGGGUGAAAAAGCACAUAGAGGAUGGUCAAAAUCAAAGAAAAUACAUUUUCAUGUAACAAGAAAGGAGAGAACCCUCUGUCUUCUCAUAUUACAGAUACUGUGGUUUGUGAUUUUCUUUUUUAAGUUUUUUUUGUUGGUUUUUUUUGUUUGUCUGGUUGUUUUUUUUAAACUAAGUGUGGAAUAUAUUAUCCCAGGUCAUUACUUAAGUGCUUCAGGAGUUAACCAUAUGGAGACUUAUAGCUGCAUCCCUCAAGUUUCCUGUGGCAUUAAAAACCUUACUGACUAAUCAGCACAAUAAAAAUACAUUAUCCUUUGUACAGUUUCUUCUGGAGAUAGUCUUGGCUUGAAGAGACAAAAUACAGUCUAAAGCUUCAUCCUCACAGGUCUUCUGGGACAUGGGGCUCAAACUUAGUUCUUUUUGAAUAGCAGAAGAUGCAAAGCCAGCUCAUACUGUCUCCAAAACAGAUCAGCAUCUGCAUGUCAGCAUGUAAAACAGAACAGCGAGGAACAUGAGAUCAUUAGAUCUUGCCAAGGUUUGUCCAGUCAGGCUUCCUGUAAUGCGAUACUAAAUCUAGCAACAGAGGGAUACUGGAAAACCUAAGUGCAAUUCCUUCACAGGCAAUAAUAUGCCAUUAUAUCUUGUCUAAAUGGUUGGUUUCAUCAGUACUACUGGAUGUUAUCUAACCUGAUGGUAUCUAAAUUGUUAUCUAAUUUGAUGUUAACAGGAAAGCUUUGUAGUUGAGUAGGCAAACUCAAGCAAUCAUUACAAUGAAGAAGACUUUCAGCUUCUUCCUUUUUUGCCCCCAGACUGAGCCCCCAUUGAGCUAGAAUCAGCACAAGGAGACAUGACCUCAUGCAUAAAAGUAUGCAGCUUCAGAUGACUUUUUUCAUCUAUGGUUAAUCUAUCUAUGGCUAAUGAUGCAACUGCUACCUUCACCAGGGAACACAACCCUCAUUUCUUAACAAUUUUUGAAGAGCACGACUACGUUUCCCACCACGCAGCUGAGUUCCCUCACCUAUAGGUAAGUAAAGCUACAAUGAGAGAAGUCCUAAGAGGACAGCUGGGAGAAAAUAAGACAGCCAGCAACCAUUACCGUUGUCUGCAUUCAGAAGAGCCUGGGAGAGGUCCACUUAAAAGCAGCAUUGAAUCCAGUCAUUGAAUCCACUCCCCUUGGGGAUCCACUCGUUCUGGUGCCGCCACCACCAGGCAACUGGGUUGGUCCCUUUACGUGGGCUGCAGGACAGACUUAGGGUCAGUGCAGUAUUUGCUCCUGAAGAUAUAUCCUUAUACAUUGUUUGGAUUUCCAGUGUGUAAAGGGACAGAGCUUUCCAGCACAGGGAUGAAGAAAGAAGAAAUCCUGUAGGGAAAAAAAAGCAACAGUUCAGGUAUUGUUUCACCAUCUAAAACACUAUUUUCUUUUUUGGUGGUAGGGUUAGGAGCAUGAGGCAAAGGGCAAGCUCCAGCCUUCCUGAAGUGAUUGUAUUGCUAACAGUCACCCCUACUUGGGCCUUGUACUUGCCUUUCAAGUGCCUAUGUGAGACCAGAUGAUACCAAUAGAGUUUUAUUGUUUCAACCAUGCUCAACACAAGCUGGCCUUGUCAGUGGAUUUGGGCAACACUAUAACAUUAAUUUACUUUUGGGGGGUGGGUAGGGAAGUUGUAAAGAAAGAAGUAAAACUCUCUUUUCCUCCAACAAAACUUACUUUCCAGGAAGCUCAAGGGAUUCCACCUUUAUUUCUUGCUACAGGAAUUAAAAAAGAAAAAUUAAAAUGGAGACACAGCCAACAGUUGCUGGCUAUACAAAUAAAACAGUUCCCUCUUCCACAUGUAGUAAGGACUAAACCUAUAUGCCCUGUAUCUCCAGCAGCAGGUAGCUGUCAUGAAUCCUUCGCCACGGUGCUAGCGAUCUCAAGUCUUGGAGAAAGACCAAGGCACCCAAGCAGAAAUAUGCCGCACUCCAAGACAAUGCAGCACCAUAUGACCAGUCCCGUCCGCAGCCUUUUUUCUCUUCAGCCAGCAGCCACCCUCCAUACAUAUACCUCUUCUGCAGGUGGAUCACCUAAGGACU